GUUUAGAUGGAGACAUUGAUGGAUAGAUUGCUGUUUGUGUAGGCCUAGGCUGCAUUUGUACCUCUUUCCCCCCUCAGCUGCCUUUUUCACCUCUUGCUUUUCCCCCGGUGCCCCCUGUGUCCCCUGUCCCUGUGCUGGGUCCGAGCUGGCGGCCAGCCUGGGUGGAGCAGCACUUCCAGCCCCGGCUGUCCCUGGAGCGGUGGGAGCUGCCGCUGGCCCCAGGCACUGUCCCUGAGGAGCUGCUGAAGGACGCUGCCAUGAAGACCUUGAGGACAGCCGGAGACUGACGGGAGCCAGCAGGGAGGAGCUGAAGGCCAGCAGCAAGAGCAGUGAACGGGGACCUGCUGCUGCCAGCCUGGAGAGAGCCCGGCUGAGGCCACAGGCCCGGGGAGGCAGAUGUCCCAUCUGCUGUCCCUGUCCAGGAGCGCUGCUCUGCCCGGGAGGAGGAGACCAAGCGAGAGGCUUUGAAGAUGGGGCAGCUGGGAUCCCUCUGCUUGGAGUGCUGUUUACAGAUACA